GGCCUCGUGGUGCAUGGGUUAGCAUUAGCGCCUUUCAAGCGAUAGAAACGAGUUCGAGUCUCGUCGAGGCUA
rnacentral:tRNA from 1 species